rnacentral:tRNA from 1 species
GGGCCCGUGGUCUAGGGGUAUGACGUCGCCCUCACACGGCGAAGGUCCUGGGUUCAAAUCCCAGCGGGCCCA